rnacentral:rRNA from 1 species
CUACGCACUCCUACGGGAGGCAGCAGUGGGGAAUAUUGCACAAUGGGCGCAAGCCUGAUGCAGCCAUGCCGCGUGUAUGAAGAAGGCCUUCGGGUUGUAAAGUACUUUCAGCAGUGAGGAAGGUGGGUAUGUUAAUAGCAUACUCAUUUGACGUUAGCUGCAGAAGAAGCACCGGCUAACUCCGUGCCAGCAGCCGCGGUAAUACGGAGGGUGCGAGCGUUAAUCGGAAUUACUGGGCGUAAAGCGCAUGCAGGUGGUUUGUUAAGUCAGAUGUGAAAGGCCCGGGGCUCAACCUCGGAAUUGCAUUUAGAAACUGGACAAACUAGAGUACUGUAGAGGGGGUAGAAUUUCAGGUGUAGCGGUGAAAUGCGUAGAGAUCUGAAGGAAUACCGGUGGCGAAGGCGGCCCCCUGGACAGAUACUGACACUCAGAUGCGAAAGCGUGGGGAGCAAACAGGAUUAGAUACCCUGGUAG